rnacentral:misc_RNA from 1 species
GAAAUGUGAUAAGUAAUGUGAAUUGCAGAAUUCAGUGAAUCAUCGAAUCUUUGAACGCACAUUGCGCCCGCCAGUAUUCUGGCGGGCAUGCCUGUUCGAGCGUCAUUUCAACCAUCAAGCCCCCGGCUUGUGUUGGGGACCUGCGGCUGCCCGCAGGCCCUGAAAAACAGUGGCGGGCUCGCUGUCACACCGAGCGUAGUAGCAUACAUUCUCGCUCAGGGCGUGCUGCGGGUCCCGGCCGUUAAACGACCUUCAUAACCCAAGGUUGACCUCGGAUCAGGUAGGAAGACCCGCUGAACUUAAGC